UGCCAUGCCUUGUCCUGAAAAUUUCUGUC
rnacentral:piRNA from 1 species